GAUGAACGCUAGCGAUAGGCUUAACACAUGCAAGUCGAGGGGCAGCAUGGUCUUAGCUUGCUAAGACUGAUGGCGACCGGCGCACGGGUGCGUAACGCGUAUGCAACUUGCCUCACAGAGGGGGAUAACCCGUCGAAAGACGGACUAAUACCGCGUACACUCCAUCUUGGGCAUCCAAGGUAGAGGAAAUGAACUUCGCUGUGAGAUAGGCAUGCGUCCCAUUAGCUAGUUGGUGAGGUAACGGCUCACCAAGGCGACGAUGGGUAGGGGAACUGAGAGGGUGAACCCCCACACUGGUACUGAGACACGGACCAGACUCCUACGGGAGGCAGCAGUGAGGAAUAUUGGUCAAUGGGCGAGAGCCUGAACCAGCCAAGUCGCGUGAAGGAUGACUGUCUUAUGGAUUGUAAACUUCUUUUAUACGGGAAUAACAAGAGUCACGUGUGACUCCCUGCAUGUACCGUAUGAAUAAGCAUCGGCUAACUCCGUG
rnacentral:rRNA from 1 species